rnacentral:rRNA from 1 species
GAUGAACGCUGACAGAAUGCUUAACACAUGCAAGUCUUUGGCGAAGCUGUGCUUGCACAGCCUAGCCAAGGCGGACGGGUGAGUAACGCGUAAGGAACUUGCCCUGCAGUCAGGGAUAACAGACGGAAACGACUGAUAAGACCUGGUAAAGUCAGGCGGACUCAUGUCCAGCCUGAUGAAAAGUGAUGCUGCAGGAGAGCCUUGCGUCCUAUUAGCUUGUUGGUGGGGUAACGGCCCACCAAGGCGAUGAUAGGUAGCCGGCCUGAGAGGGUGGACGGCCACAAGGGGACUGAGAUACGGCCCUUACUCCUACGGGAGGCAGCAGUGGGGAAUAUUGGACAAUGGGGGCAACCCUGAUCCAGCAAUUCUGUGUGCAAGAUGAAGGUUUUCGGAUUGUAAAGUGCUUUCAGCAGGGAAGAAAAAAAUGACGGUACCUGCAGAAGAAGCGACGGCUAAAUACGUG